UGGAGGGGUGGCCGGCCGCAAUGGGGCCCCGUGACCGACUGGAACACACACGGCGGCCGACAGCCGGCCAGCCCCAGGAGCAGCUCGAGGCCAGACAUACCAGGCCCCUCAGAGCAGCCCAGGCAUCAGGAAAAGAAAGCCUAGUUGGCAGAGUUUGCCAAGGAACCAGGCUGGCAGGGGAGGAGUUCAUUAGAAGGAAUGUUCCCAAGUGUCGUAUCCGGAGAGCCAGAUAAUCUCUAUCUACUGUCCACUCCCUCCCUCCCCAGGAAAUCUGGAACUGAAUGGCUGGCAGAAAAUGUUCUGAGGAACUUGGGAAACACUGACAGCAUCCCCGUUUGCUCUCCAGCUUCUCUCUCGGUGGUGUGAAAUGGGCAUCUCACCGCAGGUCUAGAAUACGGUUGUCGCAGGGGUGAGGAGGGCUACUGCCAAUCCAGGACUGCUCGGGACUGCUCUGAACAGGCAGUUUCAGAGAGUCAGCACGUAAGGAAAAAUAACCAAGUAUGCAGCCAGAAGAAGUCUGAGAAGCCACCCAGAAAGCAGGCAGGCCCGGGUUCCAGAGAGGAUUCUGCCCGAAAGGGUACAGACAUGACAGCUGGAGCUGCGGCAUUCAUCUUGGGCCACGAGGUAAGCUUUAGAAUGCUGGCCACACACAAGUGGAGCCAAAAGAGAAGAUCUCUGGGGACCUGAUACCUUGGAUCAUUUACCUUCAGAUUUUUGCAGAAGAGAAAAAUUAAAUUUCUAUGCUAAUUAAAUCAUAAAGAAAAGCCACUUCACUGGCAACUCUUAUUCUUCACAGAGAGAGGACAGCAUGGCCAACAGACUGGCAAUAGUUCUGAUACCUGGGCUUCAUCUUUCUUCCAUCUCAAACGCAGUGGUGAGAUACUCCUUUGGAACAAUCCCAAUGAGGCUGUUCAGCUCUCCUACCCACCAGCCAUACAUGUUAUACUCCUGAAACAGGAAAAAGGAUGGUUUCAGCUGGAAUUCGGUCACACUUCUGUUCAUCUUUUACAGUGAUCGCAUGGGACAAUAUGUUUACAUUCAACAGUGUAAACCUAGUAUAGGUGAUGCCAUUGCAUUGUAAAGAGCAUGUCUUUUACGAAGCAGAGUGGAUCGGCUACUUCUGAGAAAGUCGGGCACGUCCGAAAUGCCAGAGCACUAAAGAUAUUCAGGGAAUCAGGUCACAGUUCAAAUCAAUAAUAUUUACCAAGCAAAGUGCUGUUUGAGUUCCCAUGAGGUAUGUAAUGAUGGAUCAGAGUGUUGCUUCCUCCCCAGGAGCUGAGAGCAUAUAGAGUAAUGGGCUUUGGAGUCAGACAGACUGGGAUCUAAUCCCCACUUGGUCAUUUCACAGCCGUGUGACCUUAUGUUCUCCUAGCUUUAGCUUCCUUUUCUGUAAGAGCAGGGAUAAUAUCUCUCCCCUAUGUUGUGGGAGUAUAAUAAUCUGAUACAUAGGAGGUGCUCUAAACAUUAGAUUCUUCCCCGGGAAGAGGUGGGAGGUUGACAGGUAUAUUAGUAAUGACAGGUAGGACAUAAGGGCCCCAGAGAGGGGCAAAUAAGAGAGAAUGAGAGGGCUUAAAAGAAGGGGUGGUUACAGGGUUGGGAGUGGAGCACCUCGGAUACAGAAGAGCUUUUCCAAAAGCACAGUGGAUGUUAAACAUUAUGGGAGUACUUCUGAAAGCACCAGAAAAUAGUCUUUCUUUUGAUGGAAGUAAAAUUUAGGAAUACUAUAGGAAAUAUGUAUUUUGGUUCAGCUGGCUUUGGGGUACCAUGAAGCUGCCUGUCUGCUUUUUUUGCACACCUGGCUGUUGAAUUCUACUAGGAAAAAAAAAAAAGAAAAAGAAAAGAAAGAAAGAAAACCGGGUUGGUGACACAAGAAAAUUUCAUGAUAACUGGGUAUCUUUCUGUUUCUUUUUUGAUAGAGUAUCUCCCCACCUCCAACCCUGCCUCCCCCCUCCUUCUCGGCAGAUGACCUCUUUUCCACCUUCAGAAAGGAAAGAGAACCUAUCAUAUGUGUCAACCUCCAGCCACCAAAAGAGGAACUAAUCUGUACGGACAACCACCCAUCUUUCCCAUUAAAGUGGAGGAAGUGUCCCUCCUCUGGUUUAAGA